UGAUGACGAGACGCUAAGGCGUUGAAGCAGUGUAUGUCAGACUUCCAAGAAAAGCUCGCAAUGUCACUAAUAAAAAAUGCCUGUACCAUAACCGACACAGGUGGGUAGGUAGAGUAUACUAAGGGGCGCGAGAUAACUCUCUCUAAGGAACUCGGCAAAAUGACUCCGUAACUUCGGGAGAAGGAGUGCCUUAUUUAUAAGGUUGCAAUAACAAGAUCCAAGCAACUGUUUAUCAAAAACACAGGUCUCCGCUAAGUCGUAAGACGAUGUAUGGGGGCUGACGCCUGCCCAGUGCCAGAAGGUUAAAGAAGUUGGUUAGUGUAUGCGAAGCUGAUGACUGAAGCCCUGGUGAACGGCGGCCGUAACGAUAACGGUCCUAAGGUAGCGAAAUUCCUUGUCGGGUAAGUUCCGACCCGCACGAAAGGCGUAAUGAUUUGGAUACUGUCUCGGAGAGAGGCUCGGUGAAAUAGACUUGUCUGUGAAGAUGCGGACUACCUGCACCAGGACAGAAAGACCCUAUGAAGCUUUACUGUAACUUGAAAUUGGAAUUGGACUUUGCUUGCGCAGUAUAGGUGGGAAGCGUUGAAAAUAUUCUUGCGGGAGUAUUGGAGCUAUCAGUGAGAUACCACUCUUGUAAUGUUAGAUUUCUAACUUUGAACCAUAAUCUGGUCAAAGAACAGUUUCAGGUGGGCAGUUUGACUGGGGCGGUCGCCUCCCAAAUGGUAACGGAGGCGUACAAAGGUUUCCUCUGAACGGAUAGAAAUCGUAUCUAGAGUGUAAAGGCAUAAGGAAGCUUGACUGUGAGACCUACAAGUCGAGCAGGGACGAAAGUCGGUCUUAGUGAUCUGACGGUACUGAGUGGAAAGGCCGUCACUCAACGGAUAAAAGUUACUCUAGGAUAACAGGCUGAUCUCCCCCAAGAGUUCACAUCGACGGGGAGGUUUGGCACCUCGAUGUCGGCUCAUCGCAUCCUGGGGCGGUAGUACGUCCCAAGGGUUGGGCUGUUCGCCCAUGAAAGCGGUACGCGAGCUGGGUUCAGAACGUCGUGAGACAGUUCGGUCCAUAUCCGGUGUAGGCGCUAGAAUAUUGAGAGGAGCCUUCUUUAGUACGAGAGGACCGAGAAGGACACACCGCUGGUGUACCAGUUAUCGUGCCAACGGUAAACGCUGGGUAGCUAUGUGUGGAGUGGAUAACCGCUGAAAGCAUCUAAGUGGGAAGCCCACCUCGAGAUGAG
rnacentral:rRNA from 1 species